AAAAAGUUAUCUGUUUACAUCCUGAUAGUUGUGUCCUUGAAUACAAAGUUAUAGAGGAACAAUACAUGGUCAGAGACGAAUAACCCAUGACAGACAGAGUCUAGUGGCACAGACAAGAAGUCGGAGCAGCUUUAAUGGUCAGGAUGGAGUAUUACAAUCUGUUUGUCCGAAUGUGUCCACACAAGAAGAAACCCAAACGCAGAACCAGUACCAGCCAGACCAACAGCAGUCAGAAACCUCUGCGGAGCGACGGAAGCACAGCAGAGUCACAGAUGUAAAGCACUUGUCAUGGGCUGAAAAGACACAUAGAGACUUUCUGUGUCAAAUGAAGUCUUUUCACAAGCUUUAAUUCAACAGUACACUUUCACAGACAUCAUCUGAUGAAUACUGCUGAUGCUUGUUCAACACACGGGAUAUGCAUCAUCUGUUACUGGAGACGGAGAUAUAUAAAGGAAAAAAUAUAUUAAAACAAGUUGAGUGAUUCUGACAGUGUUAAGGCCAGCAGAGAAGGAUGACCUCUGCAGACUGUUGUUUUAUAAUGAUAACUGUUGCAUUGUGUUGAGGGAGAGCAUCGUUUUGUUAUUUUUAUUAUACCAGUUAAUGAAGUCAUUCUUUAGAAGCGAUGUCAAAACAUCUUUAUAUUUUAGCUCAUGAGGAUUUCUAACAGAUUUCUAAGUUUUUUCUCUUGUUUCUGCCUCCAUUAUACAGAAAUGUAAUGACUGUUGCAACCAAAAGUGAUAUGUAUGUUUAUAUUUCAUUACAUUGGUAAAGAUUUCUUUUUAUAUGCAAUUUUCUACAUGCAAACUAAAAUUAAUUCAUUUUAAUGAGUGAAAGAGGAAUGAAUGGGCAUAUAAAUGAAUAAUUGUCAUGUUAUAUAUUAAUAUAACUAAAAACUUUUUAUCAUUCUUAAUUAAUUUGAAGAUUGAUAUUUAUACACUGUAUUUGCUCUCUCUGUAUAGUCUUAGCAUGUUGAUGAGGAAACAAGUGCAGAAAGUGCUGGAAAGUGGACAUGUUGAGGAGCUGACACAAGCAGAGGAAACAUGUGGUCAGCUUAUUAUUCUGUGUUGCGCCUCCCCCUUCAGAUCUGAGAGAGUAUUGCGAGAAUAUGAGCACAUGAAGAGAAAAUCAGCCCAAUAACAAUCAGGUAAAUCGAUCAGAAUGAGCAGAUGACUCAAAACUGGAUUCUAUUAUUAUGUAUAACUUGACACCUCUUUUUUUAUCUUUUGGAUAUGUUAUUGCACAUCAGCAAUAUAAUUGAA